rnacentral:tRNA from 1 species
GUAGACAUAGUUUAACUAAAAUUCUAGAUUGUGAUUCUAGCAAUAGGGGUUAAACCCCCCUUGUCCACC